UAUUUGGAAUGUAGGUGGUUUCCAGUGUUACAGUCUAAAAGGAGGAGACGCUCUCUGUGUGUUUCAUUUCAAACUUUCUCUUUUGAACCUGCUCUGGGCCUUAGCCUCAUUUCUCUGCUGGAACACAAGACAAAUGGUAUCUGAGUCGUAGACAAACAACCAUAACGGCAAUGACGGGGAAGGAUGAGGAUGGUGAAGAUGGUGAUGAUGAAGACAGUGACGAUGACGAUGAUGAAGAAGAUGGCUGAUGGUCUGCUGCCAAGGGCAGACCACGGGAACGGAACCAAUAGGCAAACAAUACACAUUUGCUGUUUAGCAACGUGUUGAUUGUUGAUGGUUGAGAGGGAACUCAUGGGUCCCGUGAUCCUGACAGAACGCCACUGUCAGAUUUGCAUGCGGUGCUAGGCCUGGUUUGCCUGAGCCUGCUUAAGCACAAUGUGCGCUGUUGAAUGUACUACAGAGAACUGGAAAAGCUAAGAGCCAGUGAGAUGGGCUUGUAUAUUCUCCACAGAUGAAUGAUCUCAUUUGAAAACUGUCUGUAUUCCAUUGGAAACCAAAAAUAUAUUGUAAAAACUGUACAAAUUUGUAACUAUAUUGCUAGGCCUGCAUGUCAGUGAAUCAACAAAACUAAUGAACCUAUGCAUUUGUAAAGACUUACACAUGUCAAUAAUUUAAAAUGUUUUGAAAUCUCCUUUGUAAUUCUUUAAAAUCUAUUUAGGGAAAUCAUCAGGGAAAAUAGACAAGCCUAAUUUGUUACUAAUGUAACAACAAUGGGGCCAUUCUGUUCAGAAGGCCACCAACUGGCCAACAAAGAACGGAUACCUAAUAGUAUCUACGUAUAGAAACUAUGUAUUUGUUAAGAAUAAUACACACAGAAAAUAAUAAAGAAUAAACAGUGCAGUGACAGACUGUUCUAAGGGCAGUAUAUGUACCACAGAGAACUGUGAAGGCUGAAAGUAGCCAAUAAGAUGGGCUUGUAUAUUCUCCACAGAUAAAUGAUCUGACUCAGAAUUUAUUCAUUGCAAAACUGUAAUCUGCCCAACUUAAAAUGAUAUAGUAACUGAUUACAUGGCUUUUCGUGAGUUAACUCAGCUUGAGGACCCCAAAGUUCACAUAACUCAAACUUCUUAGUUGAGUUAAAAAUUCCCAGUUACUGUUUGUAGGUUUGCAACUCAGUUAGAUAAACAAAACUGAAUUUGCCUUUUUUCACUCAACCUUCCCACUAGCUGGCACUCCUUCUAUCACACAGUCCUAUCUGGCAUAUUUUCCUCUUGGGCUUCUGGAUAUGGACAGCUAUGGUAUUGCUGGGAUUCAAACUCACAAUCUCUUGAUGUUGGGAUGAAUUAUUAGACAGCUGCACCACAGGAGACAAUACCAUGCUUUAAAGUUAAAACAGAUAUUUUCUCCAGUGUUAAACAUUUGUAGACACAAAAUUUGAGUUGCUUCAUGUGUUUCUGAGUGGUGCAGUGGACUAAGCCGUCACCCCAACAGGAGGUUGUGAAUUUGAGCCCCAGCAAUGCAGUGGCCAUCUGUAAGUACGUAUCCAAGAGGAAAAAUGUCUAGCAGGAUUGUGUGAUGGAAAGAGUCCUGGCUAGUGGGGGAGUUCAAUAUAAAAAAACAAGUUCAUUUUAUUCACCUAACUGAGAUGCAGAACUAAAAAAUGAAGGGAACUUUUGACUCAAUUAAGAAGUUUGAGUUGGGUGAACUCUUGUGUCACUCAAGUUGAGUCAACUCAAGAAAAGCCAUGUAAACUAUAUCAUUUUGAGUUGAGCCGACCUCUCAUUUUUAACAGUGUAGCUCACUCAGAUUUCAUACAAUUAUUAUUUAAAUAUCUACCAUGUUACAGUUUUUCUAUAAUGCUAUAAAACCUCUCUGAUUCCCUUAAUAAUGAAAAUCUACUUAGAGAAAAAUAUUAGGGAAAAUAGACAAGCCUAAUUUGUAAAAAAUGUAAAAAUGGGCCCAAGCUGUUCAUUUGACCAGUAAAGAGCCAAGUCUGGUAGAGAGCAUCUCCUCUUUACACGAUUAUUGUGUAUUUUACAUUGUCUAAUAUCAGUAUGGAGUUAUGAACUACUACUGAACUAUAUGUUAUUUUCUCUUGUUAUUUAAGGACUGUCAAUGUUUAAGGACUUUGGUAACAUGUUCUUUUAUAAUAAUUUUGAUUCCAGUUCCACAGACAAUACUGUAGACUUGUUUAAUGAUGUUUUUUUUAAAAAACAUCAUUA